AUACAUAGGGGGCAAGCGUUAUCCGGAUUUAUUGGGCGUAAAGGGUGCGUAGGCGGCUUGUUAAGUCUAAGGUGUAAGUGCAGAGCUCAACUCUGUGAUGCUUUAGAAACUGGUGAGCUAGAGAUAGAUAGAGGCAAGUGGAAUUCCAUGUGUAGCGGUAAAAUGCGUAAAUAUAUGGAGGAACACCAGUGGCGAAGGCGGCUUGCUGGGUCUAUACUGACGCUGAGGCACGAAAGCGUGGGGAGC
rnacentral:rRNA from 1 species